UACGUAGGGUGCGAGCGUUGUCCGGAAUUAUUGGGCGUAAAGAGCUUGUAGGCGGUUUGUCGCGUCUGCCGUGAAAAUUCGAGGCUCAACCUCGAACUUGCAGUGGGUACGGGCAGACUAGAGUGUGGUAGGGGAGACUGGAAUUCCUGGUGUAGCGGUGAAAUGCGCAGAUAUCAGGAGGAACACCGAUGGCGAAGGCAGGUCUCUGGGCCAUAACUGACGCUGAGAAGCGAAAGCAUGGGGAGCGAACAGG
rnacentral:rRNA from 1 species